AUUUUUUCUUUCAUGGGGGCAGGGUAUAGUUCAAGCAGUAGAACACAUGCUUAGCAUGCAUGAGGUUGUGGGUUCAAUCCCUAGCACCUCCUCUAAAAAUAAAUCAAUAAACCUAAUUACCUCCCCCAAGCAAAAAAACAAUAAAACAAAAAUACACAUAAUGUAAAAUUUCCCAUCUUAGCCAUUUAUGAGUGUAGAGU